UACGUAGGGUCCGAGCGUUGUCCGGAAUUACUGGGCGUAAAGAGCUCGUAGGUGGUUUGUCACGUUGUUCGUGAAAACCCACAGCUCAACUGUGGGCGUGCGAGCGAUACGGGCAGACUAGAGUACUGCAGGGGAGACUGGAAUUCCUGGUGUAGCGGUGGAAUGCGCAGAUAUCAGGAGGAACACCGGUGGCGAAGGCGGGUCUCUGGGCCGAUACUGACGCUGAGGAGCGAAAGCGUGGGGAGCGAACAGG
rnacentral:rRNA from 1 species